AACGAACGCUGGCGGCAGGCCUAACACAUGCAAGUCGAGCGCCCUUUCGGGGGAGCGGCGGACGGGUGAGUAACGCGUGGGAAUAUGCCCUUCUCUACGGAAUAGCCUCGGGAAACUGAGAGUAAUACCGUAUACGCCCUGUGGGGGAAAGAUUUAUCGGGGAAGGAUUAGCCCGCGUUGGAUUAGGUAGUUGGUGGGGUAAUGGCCUACCAAGCCGACGAUCCAUAGCUGGUUUGAGAGGAUGAUCAGCCACACUGGGACUGAGACACGGCCCAGACUCCUACGGGGAGCAGCAGUGGGGAAUCUUAGACAAUGGGGGCAACCCUGAUCUAGCCAUGCCGCGUGAGUGAUGAAGGCCUUAGGGUUGUAAAGCUCUUUCAGCUGGGAAGAUAAUGACGGUACCAGCAGAAGAAGCCCCGGCUAACUCCGUG
rnacentral:rRNA from 1 species